rnacentral:misc_RNA from 1 species
UCUCUGCCUGGUGGUAGCUCAG